GAAAUCGCGCUGGUGGCAAGCCAAGCGUGAGCUCUGUUAGCCGCGAUUGUGUUGUCUGCAUUGGCUUUCGGGCUGCAGCCCGCUUAAAAAAAUACCUAGCAUGGCGCAGGAUUUGGCUCUGUCUGCCCGGUCCAUUUUUGCAUGAACCUGGGAAAUCAUAACCAACAACCUCAUCUACUGUUGCAUGUACGGACAGCUGGGAUGUACACAAUUCAGCAGACAGCCACUCUCCAAUCAAGGAAUACGGGAUUCAGGAAACAGCGUCCGAACUCCAGGUGCUUUCUUGGGACAGCACUCACAUAUAGAUGAAUAGGAGAG